ensembl:Mt_tRNA
CCAAGGCAUAGCUCAACAUAAAGCAUCCAGCUUACACCCGGAAGAUAUCAACAUUAUCCGAUUGCCUUGA